rnacentral:lncRNA from 1 species
GCUCGAAUCUACCAUCACUGGCCUGUGGAGUAGACCCGUCCUUCUCGCACCUUCUCUUUUAGCGCUGGUGCGAGAAGGACGGGUCUAUGCGUACGACAAGUCUGUCGGACGUUCCGAUUGGCUCACGAUGACACAUAAGUGGGGUGUUUCCGUCGGAGAGUUACUAGAUUUCUUGUCGGAAAAAAGUUGGGCAAAGACGAACAUUUUACGACAGUCAUAACAGUUCUAACCUACAAUUGGUGGCUAAAUUGCUGUGAUUGCUGUGAUUUUAAGGAGACAUUGAAGAGCUUCUUAUAUCUUACGUAAGAGAACGAAGAGAAUUAUGGGAUCACACAUUGCCAAUUAGAAAAAAAUCUCGAGAUAUAAGCGUAUUUUACAUGGAUUGUUUAAUACGCAUAUUAAAUAGUAAAUAACUAGUGCAUCCGUUUAGUCAGUAGCCUAGUUUACACCGAUCGUUUGAUACGCGUAUCAAAUAGUACAUUUGAGCUAAUCAGCUAAUGACUAAACGGAUGCACUAGUUACUUACUAUUUAAUACGCGUAUUAAACAAUCGGUGUAAAAUACGCUAUUGGCUGAUUAGCUCAAAUGUACUAUUUGAUACGCGUAUCAAACAAUCGGUGUAAACUAGGCUAUAAUCGCAACGCACUGGCAGGAAAUCUCAAAACAAUUAAAUGGAAAUCUAACGCCAAAUGCUGCUUGCAAGAAAUGGCGAUACCUCAAGGAUUCAUAUAUACGUAUUCGCAAUGAUUUCACGAAGAAAAAAAGUGGUUCAGCUGCUAGUAAACCUAUCAAAUGGAAA